CAGUCCUUCAUCACCAAGCACAUGCUGCUCACAGUUCUUCCUAUGGCUGGGGACCCAGUCGUCAAUGUCUGCUUCAAUGUGGCCAAAUCACUGCAGAAGAUAGGACCCAUUCUUGAUGACAGCACCCUGCAGAGUGAAGUCAAGCCCAUCCUGGAGCAGCUGACCCAGGACCAGGAUGUGGAUGUCAAGUACUUUGCCCAGGAGGCUCUAACUGUUCUCUCUCUUGCCUGA
rnacentral:lncRNA from 1 species